rnacentral:lncRNA from 1 species
AAAAAACAAGGUCUGUACAAUCUGUACAACCCUGUUUCUUGUAUGUAUCCAAUUUAUACCUAAAAUACUGUUUUCUAUAAAAAUUUCAGUUGAAAUAAAUAAUAUACAUUUUUUAAGAGGUACUACAAAAAAAAAACCAAAAAAAAAAAAAUGUCGCUAGAAUGUCCACACAAAAAUGUCCCCCUAAAAUUACUCUUAUCUAGUAACUUUCAUGUCCUUGUGCACUUUGUUCAUUUUGCAUCCGUGGAUUUUGAAUGGGUGGUAACUAUAUAUAUAGAAUGCUUGUGUUCCGGUCUUUUGUUAUAUUGACGGAUCCAGUUAGGACUAGUAAGUUUUAUAGUUGAUUAUUGUAUAGGUUAUAGAAAAUACUGCAUUUUGAUAAAUUUUAUAAUUUUUUUAUUAUAUUGGUUGAUGCAACAUUUUCUAUAAUCAAUGCAAUGAAAAUCUAUAUGAACUUACUACGGUGAAGUUAAUUAGUGCAACUUCACCAUAAUCGAAUCCCAUAUUGACAUAAUCAACCCUGUUUAAUUCCAUAUAGGCUUGGGUAUCUCGGAGUUUAGAGUGCUUGACUAAUGCUACCUGGGCACUUUAGGCACUUGUUAGGUUUAUUGCUUUGUGAUGCCGUCUUCUUAACACUCCGGUUUUUGAGUCUUACUGAAACCUCGGAAGUUAGAAAUCUAGCGUUUGCGAAUAUACUAUAUUCUAGCUAGGAAAGCCACAGGAUUUCAAAGAUCAAGUGAAACUUGUGUAUCUGUUCCAUGGGAUGUUUCAUGGUUCAAGGCAUGAAAUUUGAGGCAUUAAUUAUAACUGAAAAUUCCUUUGGAAAGUUCUUUGAAAUGAAUGAACUUGUGCUUGAUUGCAUGUUUGAGACUAGAAAUAUCUACUAGUUAUUAUCAUAUAUGUGAUGUGUUUACUAGAUAGAUAUCAUCCACAAUCACACAUGCAUAUAUGAUUUUUGUACAAUGUCUUAAUUUAUUUUUCAUUACAUGGAUAACACUGAUUAUCACAAUUCACAAUCUACAUUACGUGAUAUAAUUAGGUUGAUGAUUAAUCAUAUAACUUAUUUGUUGUAGAUAAUUUAUUUAUUAUUCAAACUAUCUAUGUAAUUCCUGUUGCCAAAUCCUUGACAGAUACAUUGUUUCAAUGAAAAGCACCAAAAGUCCUUAUCUGAGCUAAGUAGAGACAAUUGGAAAACAAAUGGCUUAUGGAGUCCAUUUCACACCAAUUAGGGCACACACUGAUCACAAUACGACAUCUCCCAUUCUUUCAUUUGAUUUCUCACCCUUUAGCUAGCAAUGUUCUGUUUGAUUUAUCAAAAGUGAUCCACUAACACAUACACAUCUUUGUUGAUGCAUGUGUGGUACGUCAUCUAUUCAUCUUCCUUACCAGCUCUUUUAAGCAUCUUCAAUACGUUUCUCGGUCUUGACAAAUUAAUUAUUGCUCAUGUUCCAAAAUUAGAGAUACAUUUUUCUUUUUUCGACUGUUUCAAAAUUUGAGAUGUUCGUAUUUCUAGUUUAGGACCAUAAAGUGACAUGAAUCACGAUCCUAAUUUGUCAUUACUUUUUUGCUAUCACUUUCAAUAUCAAACCACUGCGUACAACCGAAUUCCUAGUUAAUACUAAGUCUAUAUUUGAGACUAUAAAAUUAUAUAUAAUUCAGAAAUUCAGUAGGGCUCAAAAAUAAUAUUUUUUUUACCUCCAUCUAAUGAUCAUAAACGAGGUCCAGCGAUGUCAUAUUGGUUCAUUUUUAGCAAUGUUUGAUUGAUUUACGUUUUUUCAGUUGGGUGGAUUGGAUUCACAAGCGCAGUAAGUUAGAUUUCUUAAAAGAUGAGGUACGUAAUGCAAUUGCUUUUCACAAUUACUUAUGCUGUUGAUUAGAUUGCUGGCGAUCGAGAGGUAAAAGAGAGAAACUAACUUUUCCAUACACAUUAUACUACAUAGCUGGUGCCUGGUGAAUCUAAUAAUAGGAUUUGCUAAUUUAUUAGUAGGUUUUGGUAGAAGUUAGAUACUACUCCCUCCAUUCCUAAAUAAUUGAUUGACGUUAUAAGGAGUUCAAAAUUUUUCAAUAUAUUUGACGUUACCAAGUUUCUAGGAAAUAUUAAUUAUAAUUUUUCUCUAUUACCCUCAACUAUAUGGAGUAUUUCAUUUAUCUAAACAACUAUAUAGAGUACAUCUUUUCUUAAUUAAUGCACAGGUAAUUGUGGUAAUACAUAUCAAUCUUAAAUGACAAAAUUGGAAUAAUAAAUGACUUCUUUAAUAAGUAUGAAAACGUCAAUUAUUUAGGGAUGGAGGGAGUACUAUAUAUAUGGAGCAGUUACAAUAACAUAAACGAACUUCUCUUGUUAGCUGCGCAGGCCCAAUUACCCUAUCACCCAAUCGCUGACUACCUUCAACCAAGAUAAUAGGAAGAGACAGAACAAGCGGAUAUCAUAAACAUGUAUUCAGUGCAUGGACGAACUUCAUCAAAUAGAUCAUCACCAUAUUUUCAUAUUUUGAUACGUCACGCUCCAAAUAAUUAAUAUUUUGAUACGUCAAUUAUUUAGAGAACGUUGUUUUUGUUCAGAGCUAGGCAGAAAUAUUUGAACAUUAGGCUCAGGGGUAAGUAGAGAUGUGUCAACAUGAUUUGAUUGUUUUCUCUUAAAAAAUGAAUCAAUAGUAUCUGAUUUUUCUAUGAUUCUAAAACAAAAAAUAAAAAAUUCAAUUAACUACACUACAAAAAUUAGUUAAUCAAUAUUAUUGGACCACUCAUUGAACUUUUUAAUAAUAAAAUUUUCAUAAAUUUGCAACCAAACAAGUAAGGGUUUUAGUUGGUUACCGAAAAACAAAUUGAAUAUGCAUUUGGAAUUAACAUUAACAUAUAUAAUAUUAUGAUCACUCAUUAAACUUUUAAAAAUUAAAAUAUCAAGUUUCAUAAAAUAAACAAAGAAUAAAAAAAAUUAAAUAAGAAUUUUAGUUGGUUACCUGGAUGCAAAUGUAUCAUUCAAUUGGAAUAACAUAAAUACAAUAGUAUGCUCAAGUUAUACAAAUAUGCAAUUAUAAUGAAUUUAAUAAUAAAAUUAGUUUGCAAUCCGAAGCACUCCAUGAACAACUUGAUAAAUGAACAAGUAGACCUUACAAAAAUUUCAAACCUUGGGGGGACUGUGGCCCCCUCUAGUCCUAACAUAGUUUCGUCCUUGAUUCAAUGUCGAAGCUAAAAAUUUGAUCCAAUGAGGUCAAAAUUUUGUGAUGCUAUAAAUAAUUUGGCAAAGGUUUGAGGGGGCCGAGCCAAUUUUUUAAGAUAAUUUUAUGCUUUUUAGCCAG